AGUGAGAUUGCUGGGUCAUAUGGUAAAUAUAUGUUUAACUUUAUGAGAAACUGCCAAACUAUCUUCCAAGGUGACUGUACCAUUUUUAAUUCCCACCAGCAAU
rnacentral:pre_miRNA from 1 species